CAGUUGUGUUUUGCAUAUCCCUAAAUUAGUACAUGAAAUUGUUCUGUUAGGUUGAAAAGUCUUUGCCUUUUUUUCCUUCUUUCAGUUUUCCACCUAUUUCCCUGGAUACUUUGAUGGCCAGUACUGGCUCUGGUGGGUGUUCUUGGUUUUAGGCUUUCUCCUGUUUCUCAGAGGAUUUAUCAAUUAUGCAAAAGUUCGGAAGAUGCCAGAAACUUUCUCAAAUCUCCCCAGGACCAGAGUUCUCUUUAUUUAUUAAAGAUGUCUUCUGGCAAAGCUUCCUGCACUGAUGAAGUC
rnacentral:lncRNA from 1 species